rnacentral:rRNA from 1 species
GUAGGUGGCAAGCGUUGUCCGGAAUUAUUGGGCGUAAAGCGCGCGCAGGCGGUCCUUUAAGUCUGAUGUGAAAGCCCACGGCUCAACCGUGGAGGGUCAUUGGAAACUGGGGGACUUGAGUACAGAAGAGGAAAGCGGAAUUCCAAGUGUAGCGGUGAAAUGCGUAGAGAUUUGGAGGAACACCAGUGGCGAAGGCGGCUUUCUGGUCUGUAACUGACGCUGAGGCGCGAAAGCGUGGGGAGCAAACAGGGAUUAGAUACCCUGGUAGUCCACGCCGUAAACGAUGAGUGCUAAGUGUCAGGGGGUUUCCGCCCCCUUAGUGCUGCAGCUAACGCAUUAAGCACUCCGCCUGGGGAGUACGGCCGCAAGGCUG